rnacentral:rRNA from 1 species
CCUACGGGAGGCAGCAGUGGGGAAUCUUGCGCAAUGGGCGAAAGCCUGACGCAGCAACGCCGCGUGCGGGAAGAAGGCCUUCGGGUUGUAAACCGCUUUCAGCAGGAACGAAAAUGACGGUACCUGCAGAAGAAGGUGCGGCCAACUAUGUGCCAGCAGCCGCGGUGAUACAUAGGCACCAAGCGUUGUCCGGAUUUAUUGGGCGUAAAGAGCUCGUAGGCGGUUCAGUCAGUCGGGUGUGAAAACUCUGGGCUUAACCCAGAGCCUGCACCCGAUACUGCUGUGACUAGAGUUCGGUAGGGGAGCGGGGAAUUCCUGGUGUAGCGGUGAAAUGCGCAGAUAUCAGGAGGAACACCGAUGGCGAAGGCACCGCUCUGGGCCGAAACUGACGCUGAGGAGCGAAAGCAUGGGUAGCAAACAGGAUUAGAUACCCUGGUAGUCCAUGCCGUAAACGUUGGGCACUAGGUGUGGGUUCCAAUCAACGGAAUCCGCGCCGUCGCUAACGCAUUAAGUGCCCCGCCUGGGGAGUACGGUCGCAAGACUAAAACUCAAAUGAAUUGACAGCGNGAGAGNGCGAGACGACACGAGGAGAG